CAAGGGCCUUAUUAUUUCGCUUCCCCAUGACCAGCCCGCGAGUGUGACCUCAGCCCUUCUGGGGGGAGGGGAGCGAGGACACAACCCGAAGAGGCGUCUGUUUUAUUUACUGAGCGAACAAUGUGCCAGGCUGGAUCACCUCACGGGCAUUGGGGACACCCGGGGAGAAUCGUCUCUUCAUUCCACUCCAUCCCAGGCAAAUCAGCCUCCUGACAACUAGACCCGUGAGGGAAAUGUCUGUUUCUACCUGCACCCUCCUGCACAAGGUGACCGUCAGAUCUCAGUCCCUGGUCACUGAAUUCUGUCAGAGAUGCGUGGGCUCUGCGCGGACCGUGUAACUGAAGCCCAGUGCUCACCGAGGAAAUGGACCUGGCUUGACCAUCGGGAACAAGUUCCAGCAGUAUCGGAGAAUCACGGCCAAACCUGGCUCUGUAAUGAUGCUACGCUCACACAAGCGCAGACCACCUUGCCAAACGACCGAAGCUUUCCUGGGAGACUUUGCUACCCAUUCAUCUUUCUCAGGGUGCUUUGGAGAGGGAAGUCUGUCCAAGAACAAAACACCGAACACAAGAUACCUUCAG